rnacentral:lncRNA from 1 species
UGGCACACAACUCUAAUUAAAUUUAACCAAAAAUACAGAAAAUUAUAUUUUAUUUGAAGAAGCAUAUUAAAGCUCCAUUUUAUUUGAAGAAGGUGACAUAACAUCAAGGAUCAACCUUGAUGAUGAACAGUUAUAUAUAGUAAUUUCCAUCAGCAAUUGGUGGGAAUGGUGACUUUGCAGGCGGCAGCAAGUUUCUUGGCGUUGGGGAUGUAGGGCUUGUACUGAGGGUUACGGCUGCUGCUCCUUGAGCUUACUACAGCAUGCCGCCGACGGAGCCUCCCCAGAGCACGGUAGGAGUGCACGUCACGGCCACCGUCUCAUGCGCCAGUGCCGCCAUCACAACCACCACACAACACCCUUCUUCAUCUUAAUUAAUUCACACUAGCUAGC